CCUACGGGUGGCAGCAGUGAGGAAUAUUGGUCAAUGGACGAGAGUCUGAACCAGCCAAGUAGCGUGAAGGAUGACUGCCCGAUGGGUUGUAAACUUCUGUUAUAGGGGAAUAAAAUGUGCCACGUGUGGGAUUUUGUAUGUACCAUAUGAAUAAGGAUCGGCUAACUCCGUGCCAGCAGCCGCGGUAAUACGGAGGAUCCGAGCGUUAUCCGGCUUUAUUGGGUUUAAAGGGAGCGUAGGUGGCUUGUUAAGUCAGUUGUGACAGUUUGCGGCUCAACCGUAAAAUUGCAGUUGAAACGGGCAGUCUUGACUACAGUAGAUGUGGGCGUAAUUCGUGGUGUAGCGG
rnacentral:rRNA from 1 species